UGAUGAAGGUAGGCAUUUGCCGCAACGAAGGAAGCCAGGCCAAGCCCGGCAGCCCCAAGAAGCGAGCAGACACAUCCAGACAGGCAAGCUUCCACUGCAAGGAGAGUUACCUGCCUGUGCCGGGCCGUUUCCUGACCUCUGCUCCCCGCGGACUCACUCCAGUCGCAGAGAGGCCGGCUGUGGGAGAGCUGGAGGACUCUCCCCAGAAGAAAAUGCAGAGCAGGGCCUGUUUACCCAUGCCUCCUCUGUCCCUUGCUCGAGGGUUGUCAUCGGGAGCCCAGGGACACUAGAAUGCCCGAUGGGUGUCUUCCUCAUAAGGGCACACGUUAAAGGGAGCACUUCUUGUGUGAUGGCCAUGCCUCUGGACGCUCUGCAGGGGUCCUGCCUCCGCCCGCAGAGAGGAGCUGGGGUGGAAGGCAGGGCUGGCAGCUGGUUUGGAUCGGGUGAUG
rnacentral:lncRNA from 1 species